GACGAACGCUGGCGGCGUGCUUAACACAUGCAAGUCGAACGGUAAGGCCGGGCUUUUGUGUUGUGCUCGAGUGGCGAACGGGUGAGUAACACGUGGGUAACCUGCCCGGUACUGUGGGAUAACUUCAGGAAACUGUGGCUAAUACCGCAUAAGAGCUGCUGCUGCAUGGUGGGGGUUGGAAAGGUUCGGCGGCUGGGGUUGGACUUGCGGCUGAUUUGCUUGUUGGUGGGGUAGUGGCUUACCAAGGCUUUGACGGGUAGCCGGCCUGAGACGGUGACAGGCCACAUUGGGACUGAGAUACGGCCCAGACUCCUACGGGAGGCAGCAGUGGAGAUUAUUGCACAAUGGGCGGAGGCCUGAUGCAGCAACGCCGCGUGCGAGAUGACGGCUUUCGGGUUGUAAACCGCUUUCGCCUGUGACGAAGCGUGAGUGACGGUAAUGGGUAAAGAAGCACCGGCUAACUACGUG
rnacentral:rRNA from 1 species